AGUGGAAAACAGCAUAUUUAUCUAGAGGAUGUGCUUAUAUUAAUUCAAUCUCUUUUGAAAGAUUUUCUUAUCUCUUUACAAUUAUAAGCAAGUGGCCAAAAGCUUUGAGAAACUAAUGAAAUUUUUUUGUGGAAAGGUUUUGGAGAAAGGAAUAGAAUUCAUUUGGUAAAAGUGGGAAAUUUGGUUUUGUUGCCGUGAGAAGGGUGGUUUUGGGAUGGGUAUUUUGGACAUAUGAUGUGAUUGCUUGGGAAGUGGUUGGGUUAUGCCUUACAUGAAAAUGGAUAGGAAUUCUAAUAUAGUGGUUAGAGGCUCCAUUUCUUCUUUUGUUUCCUUCUUUCCUUAUUUUCUUGUAGUGGUGGGGAAUGGGGAAGUAAUUUUGCUUUUCUGAUGCAGGAUAAGAAUGGAUAGGAAGAAAAAAGAGAUCCGGACUCAUCCCGGUCUUUGGCAUCACACCAAAGGUUUCCAGUAGAGAAAUUAGAAAAUUCCGGCAUCGCACUGGCCUUCGGCAUCACACCGAAGGUGCCUUGGAAUCACUCUCCAAGUCAACCUGUGCCUCACACACAAGCAGAACCUAUCUAGCUAUUUGCUAGUGUUUCCUGCCUAUUCUUAUGGUUCUUAUAGUAUGGAAUUUGAGAAGAUGUUGCCAUCUGAAUUAUCAGCGGAACCAAAAUAUCAGCUUCGAAGAAUAAGUUCAGCCUUUUUCUGAGUUGUCUCUGCACCCAGCGUUGUAGUUGUCAAGUGUCGGGACUAAUAUCUUGGCUUCAUGUAGGUUCUCAUCACCAGAUGGCUGGUCGGUCCUGCCGCUGAUGUGCAUCUGACCUUCGAACCGCACCAGUAGGAUCCUGUUGUGUACAUUUAUGAUUAGCUGAUCUCGUAAAAUAUACUGCAGCAAAAAUGCCAUGUCUAUAGUUUUUAGUUCUGUUUUGCUGGGAAUACAAUUUCAAGAAAAAAAAGAUUGAGUUCAUUGUGUUUGAGGGUGCACAUUGUUAUGAUUCUAUUUUGGGCAAGCAAGGGGUAUUAUAUAUUGGUUUAAGCUGA